AGAGCGGUACUUUAAGUAAAAGUUUUAAUUUGCAUUUAAAAAAUGGGGUAUUAAUAUUCCCCGCUC
rnacentral:tRNA from 1 species